rnacentral:tRNA from 1 species
AGGGUCGUAGCGCAGAGGUCGUCGCGCCGGCACAGCACGCUGGAGGACGUCGGUUCGAUUCCGACCGGCUCUG